rnacentral:rRNA from 1 species
UACGUAGGGCGCAAGCGUUGUCCGGAAUUAUUGGGCGUAAAGAGCUCGUAGGCGGUCUGUCGCGUCGGAUGUGAAAAUCCAGGGCUCAACCCUGGACCUGCAUUCGAUACGGGCAGACUAGAGUUCGGCAGGGGAGACUGGAAUUCCUGGUGUAGCGGUGGAAUGCGCAGAUAUCAGGAGGAACACCGGUGGCGAAGGCGGGUCUCUGGGCAGUAACUGACGCUGAGGAGCGAAAGCGUGGGGAGCGAACAGG